GAAUGCGCCUUCACUUCCCGCUUGGUGUACUCAGGAUAUGCUAACAUGAACGAAAAGGAUUGAGGAUUUUUAUCAUAUAAUUAAAAAUUACAAUUUUCGUCAUUAAAUAUUGCCCCCUCCCCCAACAUUGUUUAGGGGGAAGGGGGUUAUUUUAAGAGAAUUCCAAAAUAUUUCAUCUCAGAAUAUUCAUCCUUCAUUAGCACUCAAAAGUUUCCAAUAUUUUUGUUUGAUGUUUUUAUUGUUAAUUUUAGUGUAAAAGUAUUUAAAAAUACCAGAGGUAAAGUAGGGAAAUAGCACAAUCCUUACAAACUCCUUACGAACGCACAAUUUAUUACUUCCUUACAAACUCCACUUACUUUCAGUGAAACAUAAUUAUUCUACACAAAGUUGAGUGUAUAGCCCUCUGAGCAACAGAAGAUUAAUUCGACACUAGAGUAUUACAACUCAUUGUCAACAUUUUUUUAUUUUAUUACACCAAUGAUAGUUAAGAGGGUUUUGAUGUCCACCCUACCCAUGGAGAUUGCUUAGGGAGUAUGGUUCUUCCAAUUGAUUUCUAAUAUGUUAUGUUUACAAAAUUACCUAGCGUCAACAGUGCCAUUUCUAACCACCAAGGGAUGGAGGCCGCUUAAUGAAACAGAAGGACAUUUUGGAACAACAUAUACUCCUCCAGUUCAAAACAGGGCAGCCUAUAUAAAUUAUAUUUUGGUUUCCUUGUCAGUCACAUUAAUCAUAGCCUUUAUUUUUGCUGGUGGUUGUUACUGUAAAAAG